GGCUGUAGCUCAGUGGUAGAGCACUUGCCUAGCAUGUGUGAUAGGACAGUUACUAGCAUGGGUUCAAUUCCCAUUACUGCCC
rnacentral:tRNA from 1 species